rnacentral:rRNA from 1 species
UACGGAAGGCAGCAGUGGGGAAUAUUGCACAAUGGGCGAAAGCCUGAUGCAGCUAUGCCGCGUGUAUGAAGAAGGCCUUAGGGUUGUAAAGUACUUUCAUCGGGGAGGAAAAACAAAACUAACUAAUUUUAUUUCUUGACGUUACCCGAAAAAGAAGCACCGGCUAACUCCGUGCCAGCAGCCGCGGUAAUACGGAGGGUGCUAGCGUUAAUCAGAAUUACUGGGCGUAAAGAGCACGUAGGUGGUUUUUUUAAGUCAGAUGUGAAAUCCCUGGGCUUAACCUAGGAACUGCAUUUUGAAACUGAAAUACUAGAGUAUCGUAGAGGGAGGUAGAAUUCUAGGUGUAGCGGUGAAAUGCGUAGAUAUCUGGAGGAAUACCUGUGGCGAAAGCGGCCUCCUAAACGAAUACUGACACUGAGGUGCGAAAGCGUGGGGAGCAAACAGGGAUUAGAUACC